rnacentral:rRNA from 1 species
CCUACGGGAGGCAGCAGUGGGGAAUAUUGGACAAUGGGGGAAACCCUGAUCCAGCGACGCCGCGUGAGUGAAGAAGUAUUUCGGUAUGUAAAGCUCUAUCAGCAGGAAAGAAAAUGACGGUACCUGACGAUGAAGCCCCGGCUAACUACGUGCCAGCAGCCGCGGUAAUACGUAGGGGGCAAGCGUUAUCCGGAUUUACUGGGUGUAAAGGGUGCGUAAACGGCAGGUCAAGUCUGGAGUGAAAUGCCGGGGCCCAACCCCGGAACUGCUCUGGAAACUGUGAAGCUUGAGUGCAGGAGAGGUAGGCGGAAUUCCUGGUGUAGCGGUGAAAUGCUUAGAUAUCAGGAGGAACCCCGGCGGCGAAGGCGGCUUACUGCACUGUAACUGACGUUGAGGCUCGAAGGCGUGGGGAGCAAACAGGAUUAGAUACCCCGGUAGUC